rnacentral:rRNA from 1 species
UACGGAGGGUGCAAGCGUUGUCCGGAUUUAUUGGGUUUAAAGGGUGCGUAGGCGGCCCGUUAAGUCAGUGGUGAAAGCCUCCAGCUCAACUGGAGAACUGCCAUUGAUACUGGCGGGCUUGAGUACAGACGAGGUAGGCGGAAUUGAUUGUGUAGCGGUGAAAUGCAUAGAUACAAUCAAGAACACCGAUUGCGAAGGCAGCUUACUAAGCUGUAACUGACGCUGAUGCACGAAAGCGUGGGGAUCGAACAGG